AUUGAACGCUGGCUGCAUGCUUUACACAUGCAAGUCGAACGGUAACAGGCCUUCGGGUGCUGACGAGUGGCGAACGGGUGAGUAAUGCAUCGGAACGUACCCAGAGGUGGGGGAUAACGCAGCGAAAGCUGUGCUAAUACCGCAUGUGAUCUGAGGAUGAAAGCGGGGGACCGAGCAGCAAUGUUUGGCCUCGCGCCUUUGGAGCGGCCGAUGUCGGAUUAGCUAGUUGGUGGGGUAAAGGCCUACCAAGGCGACGAUCCGUAGCUGGUCUGAGAGGACGACCAGCCACACUGGGACUGAGACACGGCCCAGACUCCUACGGGAGGCAGCAGUGGGGAAUUUUGGACAAUGGGCGCAAGCCUGAUCCAGCAAUGCCGCGUGCGGGAAGAAGGCCUUCGGGUUGUAAACCGCUUUUGGCAGGAACGAAACGGUGUCCGCUAAUACCGGGCGCUAAUGACGGUACCUGCAGAAUAAGCACCGGCUAACUACGUG
rnacentral:rRNA from 1 species